rnacentral:tRNA from 1 species
GCGCCGGUGGUGUAAGGCGAACAUCGCUGCCCGGAAAGCAGAAGAUGCGGGUUCGAGUCCCGUCUGGUGCA